CACCGUCCAUUGCUCCUACUGAUUGAAUGGUCCGGUGAAUUGUUCGGAUUGCAACAAUGUGGGUGGUUCGCUGCCUGCGACAUCGAGAGAAUUCCACCAAACCUUAUUCUCUAUAGGAAGGAGAAGCCGUAGCAAGAUUUCCAUAAGUGAACCUGCAAAAG
rnacentral:rRNA from 1 species